CACCUUGCCAAUCGCAAGACUAAUCUGAGUGCUCUCUCCUUACCCCUGCCUAAUUUUCUCGAAUUGGGUUCUUCAGUCUUGAAGCCCAGCAAUGGCUCAGAACCUACAGUUGGAAAGACCCUUGUUAAGGACGGAGGUCUAUUUUUUAUAGAAACUUGGUACUGGAUUGGUGUAUGAGCAGCAUGUUCAAUCUUCUUUUUAUUGAAGUAUUGACAUUUUUAGAGCCUCUAGGAGAUAAUAAAG